GCCAGAAAAUACGGUAGUCUGAAAGAAUAAGAAUGAAUUUUUGCUUUAUUGCAGAGCUUUGAAUUGCAGUGGCCCAGGUGGACCUCCACACGUGAAGCUUGUUAUCGAAUGGGAACACAGCUCCAAAGAGUGUUUGUUUGGCAGCAUCCAGGAGGAGGUGGUAAAGGAUACAGAGAGUGUGAAGAACCAACAACAACAACACCUUCAGCAGCAUAGCUGCACCUUGAGUGAGUGCUUCCAGCUGUACACCAAAGAAGAGCAGCUUGCACCAGAUGAUGCCUGGAAGUGCCCCCACUGUAAGCAGCUUCAGCAGGGCAUGGUGAAGAU